rnacentral:rRNA from 1 species
UACGGGGGAUGCAAGCGUUAUCCGGAAUUAUUGGGCGUAAAGCGUCCGCAGGUGGUGAAUCAAGUCUGUUGUUAAAGAGUGGAGCUUAACUCCAUAAAGGCGAUGGAAACUGAUUGUACUAGAGUUAGGUAGGGGUAAGAGGAAUUCCCAGUGUAGCGGUGAAAUGCGUAGAUAUUGGGAAGAACACCGGCGGCGAAAGCGUCUUACUGGGCCUAAACUGACACUGAGGGACGAAAGCUAGGGGAGCGAAAGGG